GACGUAGGAUGCAAGCGUUGUCCGGAAUUAUUGGGCGUAAAGAGUUCGUAGGCGGUUCAUUAAGUCUGAUGUUAAAUACUGGUGCUCAACGCCAGCAUGGCAUUGGAAACUGGUGAGCUAGAGUGUGGUAGAGGUUACGGGAAUUCCUGGUGUAGCGGUGAAAUGCGUAGAUAUCAGGAGGAACACCGGUGGCGAAAGCGCGUAACUGGGCCAUAACUGACGCUGAGGAACGAAAGCCAGGGUAGCAAAAGGG
rnacentral:rRNA from 1 species